rnacentral:rRNA from 1 species
AUUGAACGCUGGCGGCGUGCCUAACACAUGCAAGUCGAGCGGUAACAGGUGUAGCAAUACAUGCUGACGAGCGGCGGACGGGUGAGUAACGCUUGGGAAUCUGCCUGUUAGUGGGGGACAACCCGGGGAAACUCGGGCUAAUACCGCAUACGCACUACGGUGGAAAGCCGGGGACCGCAAGGCCUGGCGCUAACAGAUGAGCCCAAGUCGGAUUAGCUAGUUGGUAGGGUAACGGCCACCAAGGCGACGAUCCGUAACUGGUCUGAGAGGACGACCAGUCACACCGGAACUGAGACACGGUCCGGACUCCUACGGGAGGCAGCAGUGGGGAAUAUUGGACAAUGGGCGAAAGCCUGAUCCAGCGACGCCGCGUGGGUGAAGAAGGCCUGCGGGUUGUAAAGCCCUUUCGGUGGGGAAGAAAGACCUCGAGUUAAUACCUCGGGGUCUUGACGUAACCCAUAGAAGAAGCACCGGCUAACUCUGUGCCAGCAGCCGCGGUAA